rnacentral:rRNA from 1 species
GACGAACGCUGGCGGCGUGCCUAAUACAUGCCAGUUGAGCGCUGAAGGUUGGUACUUGUACCAACUGGAUGAGCAGCGAACAGGUGAGUAACGCGUGGGGAAUCUGCCUUUGAGCGGGGGACAACAUUUGGAAACGAAUGCUAAUACCGCAUAAAAACUUUAAACACAAGUUUUAAGUUUGAAAGAUGCAAUUGCAUCACUCAAAGAUGAUCCCGCGUUGUAUUAGCUAGUUGGUGAGGUAAAGGCUCACCAAGGCGAUGAUACAUAGCCGACCUGAGAGGGUGAUCGGCCACAUUGGGACUGAGACACGGCCCAAACUCCUACGGGAGGCAGCAGUAGGGAAUCUUCGGCAAUGGACGAAAGUCUGACCGAGCAACGCCGCGUGAGUGAAGAAGGUUUUCGGAUCGUAAAACUCUGUUGGUAGAGAAGAACGUUGGUGAGAGUGGAAAGCUCAUCAAGUGACGGUAACUACCCAGAAAGGGACGGCUAACUACGUG